CGGCUGUAGCUAGAUCAACCCUAUGAAGUUAACUGUCCAGUUGUUGCGAGUGAUUUACUCAAAUCCCUGUCAACAAAUAUGCUUACUGAACUUCUCACAUUC